GGGAUGAACGCUGGCGGCGUGCUUAACACAUGCAAGUCGAACGAUGAAGCCGGAGCUUGCUCUGGUGGAUUAGUGGCGAACGGGUGAGUAACACGUGAGUAACCUGCCCUUGACUCUGGGAUAAGCACUGGAAACGGUGUCUAAUACCGGAUACGA
rnacentral:rRNA from 1 species